GAGAAGUCUGGCUGUGCUGGAUCCGAUUUGAGCAGGCAGGACCCAGCAGGUGGGGCGCUCUAGCUCCGUUUCCGGGGAGACGCUUCACCUGCCUAACCUGCAUCCAGAUGAUUCCAUCCAUACCUUCAGGAAUGAGCUCAAAUGUCACCGUCAGCUGUUAAAAUCCAUUCCCAGGGGAAGAUAUAAGCUAUGUCUGCCCCUUCUCCUGAGGUCUCAAUGAUUUGAUUCCACUAAAGUUCACUCCGGGAACCAAUGAGUUUAUUGGGAUUACUUCCAGAGCAUAGAUGAUGGGAUGAAAGAGGUCGAUGGGACUCACGUAGAAGUCUGGCUUGGUGACCGACACAUGGUGCUUCAGACUGUGGCUGCAAAUGGCUCACCCCAGGUCACUUGUUGUGCACUUCAAAAUCCACAUCUGAGUCGACGAGGGAAGGGAGUCGAACCCCGGCAAUGGUGUGGAAGCCCGGGACCUGCUCCUGCUCUUGGAUCUGGUCUCUGAGGCGGCGGAUUUCCAGGCGCUGCAUUUCAAUGAUUCGCCCGGUUUCCUCCUGUUCAUUCAGUCGCAUAGUAGGACUGAUGCUGGCCAUGUCCUUGCUGAGCACUGUAAGGGACAAAGCAAGGUCACUGUGGCCUGUUACUAACUAACUACUGCAGUCUCCAUCCCCUCCAAACACCCACAGAGCCUCCACACUGGGAGAAAUAAACAGACUGUGCCAUGUGGUAUCAACCCUUCAUCCUCCUGCUGCUGGUUGUUUCCUCGGUGAUGUGACCUCCUCAUCAGCUCCUGUCUCCAGCCAGGUUCCUCUCAGUAGCCUUCACAUACAGCUACUUAACCAGUCACUGGUUUCCCCUGGGAUGGAGGUGCCUGUGAAGCCACGGUCCUGGUGUCUGUCUGAGAGAUUCAGUGCCGAGAUUCUCUUCUGGCCACGCGAGCACACCCUUCCCAGAGUGCCUCACAGUUGUUCCAAACUGUGGCUUUAAGGCCGGCCAGGAUGUUCAAGCACUGAGUGAGGUCACUGGACCUCCGAGGUGGGCAGCGGCUCUCCACAGAGGAAGGGCCACCAGAACCACAGCUACGGGUUGGAGGCUGACCUAGAGCAGUCACCUUCACAAAUGUACCCGACUUGCCACAUACUGUCCCAUGAGUGUUCCUAGGUUCAACUGGUGGAAGAUGGCCCAGUGGACAGCCUGUAGGGCUUCUGUUAUGGCUCCUGCUCUGUCUCCCACUCUGGCUUGUGAGUAUCUCUAGGGCCUGGGUUGUGCUUUUCCUGCCUCUUCCCAGCACUGGUCUCUUUCUCUCCUUUCUGACAGCCAAUGUUCACCACACUGUGGUUCGGUCUUACAGGGCCCCUUCUUUGGUGUAUAAACCCUGCUUCUUCCACAGCUAUUGGGAAGAGAGCUCUCGCUUAAGGCUCCACCCACCUUCGCCCCCCCCCACAUGCCCCGUCUCUGUCACCUUCCAGACCUGGCUUCCUUCCAUAGACAGAUAAAUUUAUCUGAACAAUUAGCUUCUUAUUGUCACCCCUGUGGUUAUCUACAGUGCUGUGGAGUGAGCCCAGGGGCCAUGUACAUACAGCAGUUUCACCACAGAGCUACAUUCUCAGCCCCAAAUCCAACUUCAAAGGAUGGGAAACAAGAAAGUGGUCAGGGAUACAGUUGGGCGUACCUCAACCUCCUUUCUAGACUCUGUAUCACGUUUCUUUUCUUGAACUGUUUUUUCAAAUUCGGUCUAUUUCCCCUUUAUUGGUUUGGAAGAUUUCCUCUUUCCUUCUCCCCUGCUCUCCUAUCACCGCAAAAGUUUAAUAUGCUUAUAGAACACAAAGACUGCAGAGUAGGGAUGGCUGAGUGAGACCCACGUGAAGCACAAUAUAAUUGUGUGUGUGUGUGUGCUCGUGCGUGUGUUUGUGUGUGUGUGUGUGUGUGUGUGUGUGUGUGUGUGCAGUCUCAGAACUACAGGGAGAUGGGAUUAGAGACAGUAGAGGCCCUGAGAUCACACACAUUGUGUGGUGGGGGAACAUGUCACCCUGUCUCACACAAAGAAGAUGAGAACUGAUAAUUGACUUGUCCUCUCACCCUGCUGUCUACAUGUACUCUGUGGUGCCUGUUCAGCUGUAGUCACAGACAUGCAAAAGGAGACCUGGGAUGGUUCAGUUCCACAUCCCCUGGCUUGGACGCUUCUGCCCCAUGUCUCAGGUCUUCUGAGGUUGGCUAUUUGGAUCCACAAUUCAGCUGCUGUGUUCCCCAUGUUAGAUCAUUACAGAUGCCUCGGAGUCUACAUUCUGCAUUCGUUCCUUGGUGACUCGUAGCGAGGAGAUAGCCUCCAAGCUUCAGCGCUCUGAAAGGACUGCAUCACCAUUUCUGGCACUCACUGUUGCCACUGGGAAGUCACCUGUCACCUGGCACUGUUGCUCCUGUGUCCUAUCCCUUCUCCCCGACUGCACUGCAUUCCUUGUCUUGGUGCUCUGUGGUUUUGACGUAGGGUUAACUAUUAAUUAACCUCUCGGGGACCACUGGGAUUCCUGGAGCUGGUGGUCGCCAUCUCCCACUGAUUCUGAAAAACUCCGUUACUCCUUGAGGUGACACCCAUCUUCUGAGGACUCAGUGUAGACAGCUGCCGCCUUAUUCCAUUCCAUCCCUGGCUCUCAGUGUAUGUUGUCCCUCUGGGCUGAAUCCAAGCCACCAUAUUCAUUCUUUUAGUUCACAUAUACUCCCUUCAAAUGGGUGUAUCUACCAUAUGGCUCAACUUGUUCAUUAAGUUUCUAAUUAUAAUAAUUACAGUUCUCAUUUCUACUAGUUAAUUGUCGUUUUUAAGUAUAAUUUGUAAAAUUUUAGAAUACUCUUGCUUUGGGCUAGAGAGAUGGCUCAGCUGUUAAAGGCUAGGCUCACAACCAAAAAUAUAAGAAUACUCUUGCUUAAAAAAAUUUCA